CCCCUGCUCAUCAAGCCACUCCCAUAAUAGCCGUCAUCACUCAAAUUAAUGCACGACUCUACAUUAUCUGUAUAGCAUGUGUGUAAGACUCGAAUACAGUUAUGAAGUAAUAAUUUGAUAACAUAAAUAUUUCAGUUAGUAAAACUGGCUGUGUCUAUAGUAGGCUAUUAUGGACUAUACAACAUUAUUAUCUUUAAAUUGUUAUUAUUUUAAAUAAUUGUCCCUGGAUCAGUAGGAUACUCUGGUAAUAAAGCAGUGGUGGUAGCGGACAGAUUCCAAGGAUCAGUUCUGGUUAAAAAGAUGCGAUCUAAUGCUGUUUACAUGAAAUAAGCUGCUCCGGAGCAGGUUUAAGCUUACGGACCUGUUGCUAUGACAGCAACUCUGGGAUGAGCUUCGAAGAACCAAAUGAUCCAAGAUCAUGCCAAAUCGAGUUAGCGAUGUAUGAAGAACAGGCCUUAGGAAACAUGGGACAGACAACACUUUAAAUACAGGAGUGUGUUGUGGUGUUCAUUAAUUAAAAAAGAACAGUAGACCAGUCAUUUUAUAUCUAUUUUAUUGCUGUUUUGCAUGACUUAAACUCUGUAAAUCCUUAAAAAAUAUAAAUUUCACAUGAAUGUCACUUGCUGGCCAAUGAUGGUCCUGGAGAGCUACAGUGACUUUAGCUCCAUUCCUAAUCUAACACACAUGAUUAAGCCAAUCAAGGUGUAGAAAGCAGGGGCGGGUCUACGUGGUGGCCAGGGGCACCGGCCCCCCCUGAAAUUCGAUUGUCCACCCCAGGUGCCCCCCCAUAAGAUGUCUUGUGAUUGGUUCAUUUUACGGCCAAUCAGUUUAUAGACUCUACUGAAGUUCGCGAUUCAAAGAAGUGCAGCGUCAGAGAAACAACGAUCGUCGUGGACUUGGACUUUUACUUUAUCAAGUGUGGGAAGUCAAGACACCAAACAAAGAGCUGGUAGGUAACCUUUAUGGAUAGUUUAAUAUGUUUGUAUGGUUUUCUCAGAUCAAUGUUUUUACCCCGUCAGGCUCUGCUCGCGUUGGUCGUGGUUGAUUUCAAUCGAAUGUUCAGUCAAUGUUUAAUAAAACACAAUAAAAGUAAAAUACGCUGGGCGCUAUCAAACAGUAAACACUGUCAUGGUGAUUUGCAUAUUUUGUAUCAGUUUAUUUUGUGACAGUGACCACAUAGCAAGAUUGCACCAAAUGACAAUAUGCACAGAAUGUUCCAAAAUAAUAAUUAUAAUUGUCUGUUGACGCGUUACUUGUUAAUGCAUGAGAGUAAGUCAGUUAGAUAGUCAGUUAAAUUGUCAGGCCUAACUUAACGUUAGUCAUUUACACGUGAAAUGACAUGGAUGCAGUCUGUGCAUUUCAUUCACAAUUUGAACAAUUUUUGAAACAUAAGUGUUUCUUUUGAAGGCAGGGAAGAGAGCAGUGCCAAGCCAUGAAAAGAAGUAAAGAUAUAGGGAGUUUCUUUCAAAUAAAAAAAAAAACAAAACAAGUGUAGAGGCAGAAGCAACUGAAGAAAAUGUUACUCACCAAGAAGAAAAUGUCAGGCAGCAAUAAAAAAAUUUCACUGGAACAGAAUCAGCCAGCAAGAAAUCAACAGGCCAGACAGACAGUGAUGCCAAUGGACCCAGCAGACAGCAGUGGCCUUCAUUUUCCUCUGUGCUUCCUGCAACUUCAAGUAUGUGAAGUGUAGAGGGAAUUGUAGGGAUAUUUGAUAAAUAUUACAUUUCAUUUGUAUGAAGCAAACUAAAACGGUAGUAAUCAUUGCAUGUACAUGAAUUUGCCCUAAAAAUACCAUGAGCGUAUUUAUUCUGCUAUAGUACUCACUUAGCGUGUUUUGUUUUCUCAUUGAUGCAAUAUUUACUUGUGACAUUUCAUAAUUUCUCAGGAUCAACGUUUGGUGGGUAUAAACAAGCACCUUCAUCCCCAACAGAAUGCAAAGAUAAUUCAGCUGUAAGUGACCUGUCUAAAUUUGAAGACCACAAAGAAACUUUGUGUCAGCAUAGGUCAGGGGGUAAUGGUGACAGACCUCAGGCACUACAUGCCAACAUCUCCACAGAUCGCAUUCUGCCAGGACCACAUGACAUUUCACAGUCUCGGGCAGCAGGACCAACACAGCCGCACUUGUAGGUGUUCCCUCGAACCAUGAAGGGCGACCGGAAAAGAGCUUUCAACAAAAUGUGGUACACACAACACCAAUGGCUGGAGUAUUCUGUAAGCCGAGACUCUGCAUAUUGUUUUCCGUGUCGACACUUUUCUCUCCCUGGUAUUCAAGAGACUUCAUUCACAUCAUCACUGGGCUAUUCUAACUGGAAGAAAGCAAUGUAUAAAGAUGGAGGUUUCAGGGGACAUGGAAAAACUGAAAAUCAUGUUAAUGCCAUGAUACCAUGGAAUGAACACAAAAAAAGAAUCUUGACAGACACUUCAAUGUUAAAUGCCCUCGAUAAGAAACACCAAGAAGUAAUCAAACAAAAUCGUACCUACAUUAAAACAGUUGCUGAGGUACUUUUGUUUACUGCAACGCAAAACAUUUCACAAAGGGGACACCUUGAGACCGAUGCAUCUACAAAAAAAAGAAACUUUUUAGGCAUUAUGGAUUUGAUUGCUAAGCAUAGUCCACUAAUUGACAAGAAAUUAAAAACUGUGGGGAAUGCAAAGUACACAAGUAACACCAUACAAAAUGAAAUUCUUGAAUGUCUGUCAGAUAUUGUACGGGAAAGCAUCAUCAGUGAAGUCAAGGAAAAUAAAUAUUUUUCCAUCAUUGUAGAUGAAACAAGGGAUUUAAAAAAGAAAGAGCAACUGUCUUUAGUACUUAGGUACUAUUAUAAUGGUGCAGUCCAUGAAAGCUUCCUUGAUUUCAAGUAAGCUACUGAGCUUGAUGCAGAGGGACUCACUCAAAAAAUAAUACAAUGCCUGGAGACGUAUGGACUUGAGUACAGGUCAAAUCUAGUGGGGCAAGGUUACUAUGGGGCCUCAGUCAUGUCAGGUAGACACUCUGGAGUUGCAGCAAGGAUUAAAGCUAAAACAAAUCACGCUUUUUAUGUGCACUGCAAUGCACAUUGUCUUAACCUUGUUCUCGUUGACUCAACAAAAUCAGUGCCUGAGUCUGAAACCUUCUUUUCUUUGCUACAGAAAUUGUAUGUGUACAUGUCAGGCUCCUAUGUACACCAGAAAUGGCUCUCUGUGCAAAAUGAAAUGUAUCAAGGUGCCCCAAGAGAGCUACAAAGGCUCAGUGACACCAGGUGGGCAUGUCGGUACCAGGCUUGCAAAAACAUUAAGGACAGACUGCCUGCUGUAUUGCGUGUGCUACAUGAUAUUGAUGUGGAGAACAGAGGAGAACGCUCUCUGGAGGCACGAGGUUUACUUGCCCAACUGGAUCUUACCUUUA